UCUAAUGACUCCUAUACCAAACCCCCUCGCUAUCAUAACCCCUCCCACUAUUUUUUUUUUAGACUGGGCUGAAGAAUAAUGUGUUUUUAGAGAUAAUGGGUUUUAUAAAAAGAAAGAAAAAAGGACGCAACGCAGACAUUAUCAGCACGUCAACAUGUUCAGUGGAAAGGCAGCGUAAAAUGAGGCCAGGCUACAGCCAUGGAAUGGGGCUGAUAUCGGCAGAUAUCGCGUCUAUCGAGAAGCCGUUCCCACCAGGACGAUGAAAAAAAGACAUCCUCGGAGAGACCUGCUUAAAUACGUUAUUUCCUAGCUACAAAGGACUGCAAUUAAAAGAAAUUUAAAGAGUAAGCAAAAGGCAAGUCACCUGCAAAGCACCAGAGUCGGUGCCCUUAGGUAGGAGAAUUACAUCACUCCCUGACUGCUCGAUGUCCUCUUUUAAAUUAUAAAGCAGGUGAUUUUUAUUUUUA
rnacentral:lncRNA from 1 species